GAACGUGAGCAGGUGAGGUACAGAGAGAGAGGGAGACAGAGUCCGAGGCAGGCUCCAGGCCCUGAGCUGUCAGCACAGAGCCGUGUGUGAGGCUAGAACCCAUAAACUGCAAAACCAUGUCCUGAGCUGAAGUCAGGCACUUAAGCCACCCAGCUGAACCACCCAGGCGCCUCCAGC